GUGUGACUUGGGUAAGUCACUUCACUUCUCUAUUCCUCAAUUACCUCGUCUACAAAAAGGGGAAUAAAAAACCGUGAGCCCCAUUUGGGACAAGAACUGUGUCCAACCUGAUUGAUGGUAUCUACCUCAGCACUUAAUACAGUGCUUGGCACAUAGUAAGCCCUUAACAGAUACGACUAAAAAAAAUGCAACCAUACUCCUGUGGACACGCUCCUGGAAAUGAAGGCAGCUUCAGACUUGCAGCUUCAGCCAAAUGCUUCUUGUUCCUGGGAGGAAGCUGAGACCCAGAUGGAGGACACGGUGGCCUCAACCCAGCCUGGAGCAGUUGUCCUGGCUCCCAGGAGAGGGACUGUCGGACCUGGAAAGGGAAGAAGGAAGAGGAGAAGAUACUGGCAUGAAGACUCUUCCUCCUCCUCCUCUUUCUCCUCCAACCUUCAGCCUCCCCUGAUUUACCAACCCUUCACUCUCCCGGCCCCCUUCUUGGAAUCUCAAAGCUGUCUACCUCAGCCUCGCUCACCGCCUUGGCCUCCGGACUGCAGCUGGCUGGUCUUCCCAACUCUCUGACCCCUUGGUACGUCCUUUCCGAUGCCCGUGGUGCCCACCCUGGUUCCUGAGCCCUCACCCCCUCCUCCCUCCCUACUCUGAGGGGGACAGUGACGUGGAAACCCCUAGGACCCUGUCAACGUCCGGCCGCUCUGCCAGGCCUGCCAGGGAGGAGCCAGCUGGUGCCAACCACGGCCAGUGCCUCUGCUCGAUGGUGUGGAAACGGGAGGGGGGAGAUGCGAAGUUCUUUCCCCCUCCCCAGAACACACACACACACACCCCCGAGGGGUCAAGGCGGGGUCACUCUCACUCUGGCCUCCCCACUACGUCUCUCGCACCUCUGGCAUCUCCGUCUCUGGUCUGUCCGGCUCUGGGCCACCUAGGCAGGCCUCAUCUUAAAGAGACAGUACUGGUCAGCAUGGCGUAGUAGAUAAAGCCCAGGCCUGAGAGUCAGAAGGGCAUGGCUUCUAAUUCCAGAUCUGCCACUUGUCUGCUGUAUGAACAUGGGCAAGUCUCUUGAUUUCUCUGGGCCUCAGUUACCUCGUCUGUAAAAUGGGGAUUGAGACUAUGAGCCUUACCUGGGACAGAGAUUGUGUCCAACCCGAUUUGCUUGCAUCCACUCCAGCACUUACUACAGUCCUGCAUAUAGUAAGUGCUGAACAAAUACCACAAUUAUUAUUAUAAUUAUUAUUAUUAUUAUUACUAUGUCCUUCUCACCUCUCCGGCUCCCUCCAAUCCUUCCCUCUCUUCCGGGACAACGGCGUCCAGAAACAGGCCCUUGAGGGGCAGGGGUCCUGAGGUGAGAAGGGGAUGCCAUGGAGACCCUCCCCGCCCCAAGCCCCCUCGCCUUUCCCCACUUCACGCUUCUCGUGCCCCAACCUCCCUCCUCCGCUGGCCCUUUAAGGCGCCGCUGUCCCGAAACCGCCGAGGAGACCAUUAAAAUUUUAUGCGGAGUGAAAAUGGG
rnacentral:lncRNA from 1 species